rnacentral:rRNA from 1 species
CUUAAUUAUGCAGUGAUUUCCCUGAUUCCUAAGGUUAAAGGUGCUGAAUUGAUCUCUCAAUUUAGACCCAUCGCUUUGAUUAACAACUUUGCUAAAUUCCCUGCGAAGGGUUUCGCUAAUCCUCUAUCCCCCGUUGCCCAUAGAGUCAUCAUCCCGUACCAGUCUGCUUUCAUCAAAGGGAGCUACAUUCUAGAUGGGGUCCUCUGUCUACAUGAAAUUGUGCAUGACUUGCGGGCUCGCAACUCCAAAGAGAUUAUUUUAAAACUUGACUUUGAGAAAGCCUAUGACUCGGUUAGCUGGCCUUUUUUAAGGUAGGUCUUGCUUGCGAAAGGCUUCGAUGGGGCUUAUGUGCAUCGUAUUAUGUAG